GCCCGCCAGAGGCUCGGCUCGCGCGGCGCGGCCGCUGCGACUUCCUGGAGUUCUGCCUGCCGGGGGCGCGGGCGGGCUUUGUCAGGAUCGCGGUGCGGCGACCGACGUUGGGCUCUUGCAUUGCUUUGUGCUUGGCAAUGGAAUCAUGGUUUCGGGAUAGUCAUUUUGCCUCCUGGACAGUUGGCUGACGAAGUGUCUGAUAAACCAGCUUCAGAUACAUGCUACAAAAGAAGUCCCACUUUAUCAUUAAUGAUGACAAUAACUAAGGCUGCCAGGAACAGCACAUCUGCUGAGCUUUAUCAACACCAGAUUCUCUCAUUUUGCCUUCUGGAUCUCCAUGCUUUUUUAUACCAACAAACAAGAGGAAGAAUAUUCUCUACCCACUUCCUUGACUGAAGCCUGCUCUUUUAUGAAGACAUGGCAUCUCUUCCAACCGUGUCAAACAGAUGCAAUUUAUAUGUCUGCUGCUUCCAUACCCUGAUUAAAUGGGUCAGUGGCAGAAUCAGUA
rnacentral:lncRNA from 1 species